CGGCCGAGCAAGUCCGUCGGGAAAUCCAGCAGCUCAACUGCUGGGCGUCCGGCGGAAACUGUUCGGCUUGGGACCGGAGGACCCGAGGGGUACGUCCGGGGUAGGAGUGAAAUCCCGUAAUCCCGGACGGACCGCCGAUGGCGAAAGCACCUCGGGAGGACGGAUCCGACGGUGAGGGACGAAAGCUGGGGUCUCGAACCGGAUUAGAUACCCGGGUAGUCCCAGCCGUAAACGAUGCCUGCUAGGUGUGGCACUGGCUACGAGCCAGUGCUGUGCUGUAGGGAAGCCGUGAAGCAGGCCGCCUGGGAA
rnacentral:rRNA from 1 species